rnacentral:lncRNA from 12 species
AUGGCCACCAGGUACCGCGAUUGAGGAAAUCAGUUACUACUGAAUCAUAUGCUGCAACGAGAAAUAAUAUCUGAAAAUUCACAACCUCUACGAAGCGUGACUUCUGGGCCUCUUUUUUAUACCAUUGCCUGCCUCAUACCCCACCUUGGACCCCUUUCUCUUCCCUCCACUGUGAAGUCAUAUGAUAAUUUCUCACCGGAAAUGAAAGACUCUUCCUGCAAAAAUGACUUUGGAAAGUUCCUGGAGCGCACUACAAGUGACAUCCGUGAGUCCAUCUGUGCUGUUAAAUAUUGGCUCAGGGCACCACCAUCGCUGUGACCUUUGCUGAUGCUGGGAUUCUCAGGAUGUGCCGACGGAGCAACAGGUUCCUCUCCUUUUGUUCUCUUAGAGUCUAAGGAAUCCUCCCUCCUAGGUCCCCUCUCUCUUCUCUGUGUGAGUUUUUGUUAAUUGAUACAUCUCUUUCUAUUUUACUUAUUUUAUUUUAUUAUUAUUAUUUUUAAAGACUAUUUAUUCACAAGAGACACACAGAGAGGGAGACAGAGACAUAGGCAGAGGGAGAAGCAGUCUCCUUGCAAGGAGCCUGAUGUAGGGCUUGAUCCCAGGACCCUGGGAUCAUGACCUGAGCUAAAGGCAGAUGCUCAACCACUGAGCCACCCAGGUGUCCUACUUUGUUUAUUUUAUAAACAAUUUCCUCUGAAGUAUAAUAUAAAUGUACACAUAUCCUAAGCGUCCAGCUGCUGAUUUUUCUCAAGCUGACCGCAGUCCUGUGAUCAGCACCGAGGUCAAGACACAGAACAUGACCAGCACAGUGUGUAUCCCGUUCUUCUCCUCCUCCUCAUGCUACGAUCCUGGCAUGAGAAUCUGGGGUGGGACAAAGAGGGGACUUGAGGUCCAGACACCACACUUGUCUCUGUACUCUCUCCCUUUCAUUUCCCUCCCCUCUCAAGGUCUUCAUCCUGGACUUCUGUGUCUGCGGGAUGCUCCCACCAGGUCUUGUGUGCAGGGACAAUGCUUGGCUCCAGCAAGACCAGGACCUCCUGGUUUUGUCUCUGCUGUUUCCAUCACUAGCAGGCCCCACCCACGCUGCAUUCCUGAGCUGAAGGUUUGCAGCCUGGGACGUGGGACUUUGCACUGCAUGAUCAGACCCAAUGAAUGAAUAUGUCACUGAUUGGAAUUAAGAAAUCCACUUUUUUGGAAGGAGCAUGAAAGAAAAGA